rnacentral:rRNA from 1 species
UACGUAGGGGGCAAGCGUUGUUCGGAAUUACUGGGCGUAAAGGGCGCGUAGGCGGCACGGCAAGUCAGAAGUGAAAGGCCUGGGCUCAACCUGGGAAUUGCUUUUGAAACUGCCGAGCUAGAGUGCGGAAGGGGCAACUGGAAUUCCCAGUGUAGCGGUGAAAUGCGUAGAUAUUGGGAAGAACACCUGAGGCGAAGGCGGGUUGCUGGGCCGACACUGACGCUGAUAGCGCGAAAGCCAGGGGAGCGAACGGG